rnacentral:rRNA from 1 species
UUAGAGUUUGAUCAUGGCUCAGGACGAACGCUGGCGGCGCGCUUAAUACAUGCAAGUCGAGCGAGAACCUGGGCUUCGGCCCAGGGGACAGCGGCGAACGGGUGAGUAACACGUGGGUAAUCAACCCCCGACACCGGGAUAGCCCGGGGAAACCCGGAUUAAUACCGGAUGCCCCAUCUGGCUUUCGAGCCGGCUGGAAAAGGGUAGCUUCGGCCUCCGGUCGGGGACGAGCCCGCGGCGGAUUAGCUUGUUGGUGAGGUAAAGGCUCACCAAGGCGACGAUCCGUAGCUGGUCUGAGAGGACGAUCAGCCACACUGGGACUGAGACACGGCCCAGACUCCUACGGGAGGCAGCAGUAGGGAAUCUUGCGCAAUGGGCGAAAGCCUGACGCAGCGACGCCGCGUGAGGGAAGAAGGCCUUCGGGUUGUAAACCUCUUUCAGGAGGGACGAAGCCACUCGGGUUAAUAGCCCAGAGGGUGACGGUACCUCCAGAAGAAGCCCCGGCUAACUACGUGCCAGCAGCCGCGGUACGCCC